UACGUAGGGGGGGCAAGCGUUUGUCCGGAAUCAUUGGGCGUAAAAGAGCGUGUAGGCGGCUCGAUAAGUCUGCUGUGAAAGUCCAGGGCUCAACCCUGGAAAGGCCGGUGGAAAACUGUCGGGGCUAGAGUCCGGAAGAGGCGAGUGGAAUUCCCCGGUGUAGCGGUGAAAAUGCGCAGAUAUCGGGGAGGAACACCAAUGGCGAAGGCAGCUCGCUGGGGACGGUACUGACGCUGAGACGCGAAAAGCGUGGGGGGAGCAAACAGG
rnacentral:rRNA from 1 species